CACAUUUGUGGAUCCAUUUGUACACGUGAAAUGACUUUUGCACAUUAGUGUAUUGUGGGAUUCGUGACAUUUGUGACUUCCCUCCAAUUUGUUGCAGAUUUUAAUCCAAUAAGAACCGCUACCUGGUCCGAACAAGCCUGUGGUCCGAGCACCAAAGCAGAGAAACAGACCAACAAUGGGACAGGACGAUCCAACGAGCUCCCAGCAGGAUCUGUGAGCUCACUGGCCAACUCUUUGAGCUCUGCUCUAUGAUGGAUGUUUGCAACAUGUAGACAAAGGAAAGUACUGUAUGUUAAGUAAGUACUGAGUUGUAAAUGUAUCAAGCGUCCCAGUUCUUGGUGUAUAACUUCUGUGAUUGUUAAACAUUAACUUCGCUGCUGAACAGAUGUCAUGUGUGCAGAGUCCUGCCCACUCUGAGAGCAAAGGUUGUCUCAGGUGAGUUCGGCUUCAUUGUGGAGUUUGAAAUGUCACGGAUGGAAGCAAAGACACUUUCACCUGGUUCUCAAACCCAGCAGUUGGUUUCCAGUUGGUCUCUGAUGUUUCCAGCAGAGUGACAUUAUGGCGACUGCAGCAACAGUGUCAGAUGAUCUGCAGCCUGUGAAGCGGAGCAGGAGCUAUGAAUGGCUGCCACCGAACAUGUCUGAGCUGAGAGUGGUUCUGCUGGGGAACAGCUGGUCUGAGAGGAGUUCAGUGGGUAACUGGAUCCUGGGAGAGACUGUGUUCAACACUGAGGAAGAACCAGACCGCUGUGUGAGAGUCAGAGGACAGGUGAAAGAAAAGAAAUAGUUC
rnacentral:lncRNA from 1 species